rnacentral:lncRNA from 1 species
AACACAUCUCUCUUCUUCAGGAAUGUGGCCGAUGACACCAGGUAUGAAGAUUUACAGUGUGAACUUGGUCAUUAUGGUCCUAUAGUUGAUGUGUAUGUUCCGCUUGAUUUCUACAUUCGCUGUCCAAGAGGAUUUGCUUAUAUUCAAUUUGAGGAUGUUUGUGAUGCUGAAGAUGCUUACAUAAUUUGGACAGAAAGUGGAUUUGUGGAUGGCAGAUUAAAAUACAGUUUGCCUAGGGGGAUCAGAAGACACUAAAUCAGAUGAAAGCCAAGGAAGGGAAGAAUGUGUACAGUUCUUCAUGCUAUGAUGAUGAUGACAGAUACAGACAUUCUAGAAGCCAAAGUUGUAAAAGAAGGAGAUCAAGAAGGCUGUCUUCUGAUUACAACUAUAGAAGGUCGUAUAGUCCUAGAAACAGUAGACCGACUGGAAGACCACACAUAGCAGAAGCCAUUCCAAAUAUGAUAGAUUCAAACACUGAAAUUAAUCUUUUUCAAAAUCUAAAUCCAAUUCAAGAUCACGGUCCAAGUCCCAGCCCAAGAGAGAAAUGAAGGCUGAAUCACAUUCUAGGUCUGCAUCUCACACCAAAACUAGAGGCACCUCAAAAAUAGAUUCCAAAACACAUUAUAAGUCUGGCUCAAGAUAUGAAAAGGAAUUAGGGAAAAAAAGAACCACCUAGAUCCAAAUCUCAGUCAAAAUCACAGUCUAUGUUUAGGUCAAAAUCGGUAUCAAGGUCUUGGACUAGUCCUAUGCUCAGUGGCCAUUG